GGGGAUAUAGCCCAGUGGUACAGCAUUUGCCUAGCAAAAGCAAGACCCUGGGUUGGAUACCCAGCACCCUG
rnacentral:tRNA from 1 species